CUACGGGUGGCAGCAGUGGGGAAUAUUGCACAAUGGGCGCAAGCCUGAUGCAGCCAUGCCGCGUGUAUGAAGAAGGCCUUCGGGUUGUAAAGUACUUUCAGCGGGGAGGAAGGGAGUAAAGUUAAUACCUUUGCUCAUUGACGUUACCCGCAGAAGAAGCACCGGCGAACUCCGUGCCAGCAGCCGCGGUAAUACGGAGGGUGCAUGCGUUAAUCGGAAUUACUGGGCGUAAAGCGCACGCAGGCGGUUUGUUAAGUCAGAUGUGAAAUCCCCGGGCGCAACCUGGGAACUGUAUCUGAUACUGGCAAGCUUGAGUCUCGUAGAGGGGGGUAGAAUUCCAGGUGUAGCGGUGAAAUGCGUAGAGAUCUGGAGGAAUACCGGUGGCGAAGGCGGCCCCCUGGACGAAGACUGACGCUCAGGUGCGAAAGCGUGGGGAGCAAACAGGAUUAGAUACCCGAGUAGUC
rnacentral:rRNA from 1 species